rnacentral:rRNA from 1 species
GAUGAACGCUAGCUACAGGCUUAACACAUGCGAGUCGCGGGGCAGCAUGGGGGUUGCUUGCAAUCCCCGAUGGCGACCGGCGCACGGGUGAGUAACGCGUAUCCAACCUGCCCUUCACCACGGGAUAACCCGGCGAAAGUCGGACUAAUACCGUAUGUUGUCCAUUGACGGCAUCCGAUUUGGACGAAAGGUUUGGCAGUGAAGGAUGGGGAUGCGUCCGAUUAGCUGGACGGCGGGGUGACGGCCCACCGUGGCGACGAUCGGUAGGGGUUCUGAGAGGAAGGUCCCCCACACUGGAACUGAGACACGGUCCAGACUCCUACGGGAGGCAGCAGUGAGGAAUAUUGGUCAAUGGGCGUAAGCCUGAACCAGCCAAGUAGCGUGCAGGAUGACGGCCCUAUGGGUUGUAAACUGCUUUUAUGCGGGGAUAAAGUGGCCCACGUGUGGGUUUUUGCAGGUACCGCAUGAAUAAGGACCGGCUAAUUCCGUG